rnacentral:rRNA from 1 species
AGUGAACGUUGGCGGCGUGGAUUAGGCAUGCAAGUCGAGCGAGAACCGUAGCAAUACGGGGACAGCGGCGAAAGGGACAGUAAUGUGUAGGUACCUACCCCGGGGUCUGGGAUAGCUGCGGGAAAUUGCAGGUAAUACCGGAUAAUGUCUUCGGACCAAAGGUGUGAUUCCACCUUGGGAGGGGCCUGCAUCCUAUUAGCUUGUUGGCGGGGUAACGGCCCACCAAGGCAACGAUGGGUAGCGGGUGUGAGAGCACGACCCGCGUCAUUGGGACUGAGAUACUGCCCAGACACCUACGGGUGGCUGCAGUCGAGGAUCUUCGGCAAUGGGCGAAAGCCUGACCGAGCGACGCCGCGUGCGGGAUGAAGGCCUUCGGGUUGUAAACCGCUGUCGUAGAGGAGGAAAUGCAGGAGGCUUCUCCCUUCUGUUUGACCUAUUCUAGGAGGAAGGACGGGCUAAGUUCGUGCCAGCCGCCGCGGUAA